AUUGAACGCUGGCGGCAGGCCUAACACAUGCAAGUCGAGCGGAUGAGUGGAGCUUGCUCCAUGAUUCAGCGGCGGACGGGUGAGUAAUGCCUAGGAAUCUGCCUGGUAGUGGGGGACAACGUUUCGAAAGGAACGCUAAUACCGCAUACGUCCUACGGGAGAAAGUGGGGGAUCUUCGGACCCCACGCUAUCAGAUGAGCCUAGGUCGGAUUAGCUAGUUGGUGAGGUAAAGGCUCACCAAGGCGACGAUCCGUAACUGGUCUGAGAGGAUGAUCGGUCACACUGGAACUGAGACACGGUCCAGACUCCUACGGGGGGCAGCAGUGGGGAAUAUUGGACAAUGGGCGAAAGCCUGAUCCAGCCAUGCCGCGUGUGUGAAGAAGGUCUUCGGAUUGUAAAGCACUUUAAGUUGGGAGGAAGGGCAGUAAGUUAAUACCUUGCUGUUUUGACGUUACCAACAGAAUAAGCACCGGCUAACUUCGUGCCAGCAGCCGCCGCAGUAA
rnacentral:rRNA from 1 species